CAGUGCAAUUGGGUGCGAUCUGCACUAGAUUAUAUUAGAACUCCACAAUUAAGUGUGCUUGGGACAAAGUAGUGUUGGGAUGGGUGACUUCUCAGAAAGUCUUAGUGUUGCAUCGU
rfam:Picea glauca, whole genome shotgun sequence.